rnacentral:rRNA from 1 species
UACGUAGGGGGCAAGCGUUGUCCGGAUUUAUUGGGCGUAAAGAGCGUGUAGGCGGCUUGGUAGGUCUUGCGUCAAAACCUGAGGCUCAACCUCAGUUCGCGUGGGAAACCAUCUAGCUAGAGUCCGGAAGAGGAGAACGGAAUUCCCAGUGUAGCGGUGAAAUGCGCAGAUAUUGGGAAGAACACCAGUGGCGAAGGCGGUUCUCUGGGACGGUACUGACGCUGAGACGCGAAAGCGUGGGUAGCAAACAGG